CACUUUGUCACCCAUGCUGGAGUGCAGUGGCACCAUCUCAGCUCACUGCAACCCCACCUCCCAGGCUCAAGAGAUCCUCCUACCUUAGUCUCCCGAGUAGUGAGUAGCUGGGACCAGAAGCGUGUGCCACCGCACCCAGCUAAUUUUUGUAUGGUUUUGCCAUGUUGCCCAGGCUGGUCUCAAAUUCCUGGCCUCAAGUGAUCCACCCACCUCAGCCUCCCAAAGUGCUGGGAUUACAGGCGCGAGCCACCACGCCUGGCCUGAAUAUUUUUUAAACUUUAUUUUACGUGGCUGUCUCCUGCAUUCCCAGUCACGUUGUCUGUACAUUUUGGCUGCCCAGGUGUGCUCUUUGCCCUCAAGUAAUGAGACCGAGAAAGAGCUUUUCAAGUAAAGAAAUUUAUUUUCUUCUAUUUUUGGAGGUCAGUCAUCAAUUGAUGGUAUUUUGGCAUAAUGUUUAUAUUAACAAGAAUCAAUAUUUAAACAACAAAGUUAUUUUCUCUGUGGAUCAAAUUAAAACUGCUUAGAAAUAGUCUUUAUAUGUAUUUAUGUUGCACACUUUGCUGAGAAAAUACCAAAAGAUGUCUUUUUUCUGCAGGAUGGAUAGUUGACCAGCAAAAAGUAACCCAUUGCUUAUUCACAAGUGAAAUAAAACUUUUCCAGGGUCCUAAAAUACUUUUUAGCAAGAAGAGGACAUCAUCUAAUAUUUUGACUACCUGUUAUGUAAGAUAGGAAGAAUGUGCUUAUUAUGAAAGACAUCCGUCCAGUAGUUGAAAACUGAAAUUUGGCUCAUCAAAGCUGAUAAUAGCAAAUUGGAGGAUAUUAUUGGAGAAAGGAGUUCACUGCUGUGGGAGUUUAUAUAUUCAGCAAUAUCACUUAUCUUAAGUAGUUAGGCUUGAAUACAUAGGCCUAUGAUUUAAGCAGUUCUUGAUCUCUUCACUUAAGACACCAAAUAGAAUUGAAUAUCUAGCAGACCAGAAUACCAUACCUCAUUUACAGUGGUUUUUGAUUAGUGGCCUCCAAAGAACAUAUGUUUUCAUUAUGUGAAAAUUAAGGAAAUUGGCCGGGCACGGUGGCUCACGCCUGUAAUCCCAGCACUUUGGGAGGCCAAGGCGGGUGGAUCAUGAGGUCAGGAAAUCGAGACCAUCCUGGCCAACAUGGUGAAACCCCGUCUCCACUAAAAAUACAAAAAUUAGCUGGAUGUGGUGGUGCACCUCUGUAGUCCCAGAUACUUGGGAGGCUGAGGCAGGAGAAUCACUUGAAUCCAGGAGGUGGAGCUUGCAGUGAGCUGAGAUCACGCCACAGCACUCUAGCCUGACAAGAGGACGAGAGUCCGUCUCAAAAGAAAAAGAAGAAAAGAAAGAAAAGAAAAGGAAAUUAAUUAAUCUCUGAGCUUAUAACCUUAGAAGGAAGUAGCUAAACAAUUCUCAGUGUCUUUAUAUCAAACCACAUGCCUUGAAUUUUCUGUAGCGAUGUGUCCUGUAUGAAGAGAAAAAUAAUAACAGUUCUCAGGAGUCCUUCCUACAGUCAUCUCCUGCCUCCCUUUUACAUUCCUGCCCUUUCAAAGCGUAUCUGGAUGCUGUGAGCAAGAAGGAAGGAGUCUUGCCAAAGGCAUUUGAUUCUUUAAUUCCUCCAAGAGUGUGUACUAACUUUUGGACAAGGGAGAGGCCUUUUGGAAAGAGGAUAUGGCAUCAAUGUUGUUUUAAUUUAAAGCUUCUAGUCCAUGAAUUGCUGGAAUGUGCCUCAGUCUAAAGGCUAUUUCCUAACAGGGAAGCAGUCAGCAUUGACCAGGCUUUCCAGCAAAUGGAGCUGCCACUGCCUGAUAGGCUCUUGGCGUUCACAUGUGAUUCCUAUUGUCAGAAAGAGGUGAAGCAAUGAGGGAUAUAUAGAUUUGGGGGUCACCUUCUAAUAUGGUCCCAAUUUACUUACCCCCUCUAACCACCGCCCCCCCACCCCCUACAGGGUAACUUGUCUCCUUGACUCAUUCAUGGCAAAGCAGCACUUGGAGAGGCUGCAUCAGAGGAAGGGGCCAGGGCCAGUGAAAAAAAUAAACUAAGGCUGUCUAACAAACUCCAGAUGUUCUGUGGUGGGUGCCAGCCAGUGUGUUCAGACCUUAAGUCAUGAAGAAGCCCCACUGUGAUUGUCAGGCCCCCGCACGAGAUUUAAUGUAAACUCCGAUAGAACCCUGGAAAGCAUUAAUACAAUCUGUUUAGUCACAGCAGUUGUCACAAGAUGGCCUUUCUCUCA
rnacentral:lncRNA from 10 species